UAAUACGUAGGGGGCAAGCGUUGUCCGGAAUCAUUGGGCGUAAAGAGCGUGUAGGCGGUCCGGUAAGUCGGCUGUGAAAGUCCAGGGCUCAACCCUGGGAUGCCGGUCGAUACUGCCGGACUAGAGUUCGGAAGAGGCGAGUGGAAUUCCCGGUGUAGCGGUGAAAUGCGCAGAUAUCGGGAGGAACACCUAUGGCGAAGGCAGCUCGCUGGGACGUUACUGACGCUGAGACGCGAAAGCGUGGGGAGCAAACAGGAUUAGAUACCCUGGUAGUCCACGCCGUAAACGAUGGGCACUAGGUGUGGGAGGUGUCGACUCCUCCCGUGCCGGAGCUAACGCAUUAAGUGCCCCGCCUGGGGAGUACGGCCGCAAGGCUA
rnacentral:rRNA from 1 species